CUCUCUCUCUCUCUCUCUCUCUCUCUAUCUGAGCGAAGAUAGAAAGUAAUGUCGCGCGCACGUCGGUUAUUUAAGUCAAGAGAUAGGAGAUAUUAUGUUACCAAGCCUUUAAGAUCCUUCCGUGUACGCGUCGGCCGAUUAAUCAUCGACUUUUCUACUUUCUUCAAAGAAAAUCUUCUCCCGAAGGUGGAAGGUGGAUCGAUCGCGACGUCGCUCGGUCCAACUCUUACCAAUGAUCGCGAUUAACGAGUACGAACGACGAGACGCGUUCUCUCUCGAUUCACUUAUUCUUUUCGUUACACGUUUGGUUGCCUUUGGCAUAGCUUCGUUGUUUGCACAGCUGUCCUCGAUAAAAUACGAUGCUCGUUAGGAUACCUUCAAGCGAUACAUUCAAAUCGAUCUCGUUUUUCUUCGAUCUUCAAAUCUAACAGCUAGCUCUUUGCCCGUUGCUAUUACUUUAACGCGCAUAUAGACCGAAGCGCGAUGUCUCUUUCUUCCUCUCGUAUCUCCGCUCUCAAAAAAUGACAAGUAUCUCGUAUCCAAUAAUUGAUAGUUCACGGUCUGGCUCGUUACACGUGACACGACUCUAAGCAGUCCUUUCGUAACGAAGUGUGCUACGUUCGCGAUGAGUUGGGCGUGACGAGACGUAAUCUCUCGGUUAGAGUCUUGACGUUUGAUUGGCAAAGCAAACAGUGGGAUACUCGUUCGCGUAGGCGUACAAAUUCACGGCGAGAUCUUUGCGUCAAAAUAUACGACGGUAAUCGGGGAUACCAUCGGAGAUACGAAGGAUUCGUUUUAAAAAUGAAAUAAUCGUGGAUAAAUGAGUUUUUAUCUUUCCAGCAUCGUUCGCUAUAAAUACCUAUUUAGAGUUAAUGUUGCAAGAGACUUUGGUAAAGGAAAAAAAAAAGAUCGAGAAGAAGAUGGAAAGUGGAAACGCCAUAAAUCAUCGAGAUCUUCAAGAUCAUCGGGAUCAUCGUUCCACGUCUUCUCCUCACCCGCUCGAAAAGUUUCUGGUACGCAAAGUAAGAAGCCGUCAACGAGAUCAGGAUGAAUCUACUAGAGCGGAAACGAAGCGUAAGAAGCGUCCGUAUCGUCGGUGACAGAUCGAUGGACGCUGUCGUCGUAGAUGGUUUAGAUUCUAACUCCGGUAGCACGCGCGCAUCCACAUCCCAAAGGUCUUGCCUCGAAAAGCUCGUUCCAUCCCUGCUCGCAUCAAUUAGUUCGAGAAUGAUUUACGACAUUGGCCGAGCGAGAAAGCGAAAAUUUACAUUGUCGACGCUAACCACAAUUGUCCACGGCUAUCGCGACGAAGAAGACCAAAGGAGGGAUGAAGAGACGGUAGAGUUAUUUCGUAGCGCGUGUGGCCUCCGCUCGGAAGAGACGUACCUACCACCGUGUGAUUUAUAAGAUCGCGAAAGGGACGGACCGUUCGUUCCUCAAUCCUGCCUCCGUGGUGCAUCAACGGUGCUCUCUUCGGUCCUCCUUUUUUCUCCUCUUUCCAUCUCCGAUCCUCUCCGGAUUCUCUGGAAUUCGGCUCAUUACGCCUACGCUUUAUCUUCAAUUAUUUCGCAUCGAAUUUAUAUCGCGAAUUUAUGUCGCGCUUUACUACCUCCUAAGAAUUUCAUUUAAUUAGCUAAGACAUUCCGGUACUACGUAUAGAUCAUUCUACGUAGAAUCAUUUGUAAAAAUCGUUUAAAGACGCAAACGACAAGGUGCAACGCACAAAUAGGUAAGAAAUGUAGCGGCGAAGGACGGGCUAACGCGUUAGCGAGAGAUUGGACGACGACAUGCUUGAUUUAUACCUAUCGUAAAGGUAAUAGAUAAUACGAUCCAAGCGACGUCACGUCAAUCUUAAGAGGACGUUAAUUAAUUUAGACACCGAAACCUUUGGAAUUCGACCAAGCGUUGAUCUUUUCUCUCUCUCUC